rnacentral:rRNA from 1 species
UAGUCUCGCACAGAUGCAUAUCAAUAAGCGGAGGAAAAGAAACUAACAAGGAUUCCCCUAGUAACGGCGAGUGAAGCGGGAAGAGCUCAAAUUUGAAAUCUUAAAGGGUUUCCCUUUACGAAUUGUAGUUUAAAGAAGUGUUUUCUGUUGAGGUUUUGGUAAAGUUCUUUGGAAUAGGACAUCAUAGAGGGUGAGAAUCCCGUAUUUGACCUUUACUUUCAACUUUGUGAUACACUUUCAAAGAGUCGGAUUGUUUGGGAAUGCAGUCCAAAAUGGGUGGUAAAUUUCAUCUAAAGCUAAAUAUUGGCGAGAGACCGAUAGCGAACAAGUACCGUGAGGGAAAGAUGAAAAGAACUUUGAAAAGAGAGUUAAACAGUACGUGAAAUUGUCAAAAGGGAAGCGUUUGACACCAGUGUUGUUUUUCUGAAAAUCAAUUAAAGAACUGUUUAUGCUAAGUUGUUUAGACUUUAUCAGCUAACUGUUUAGUUUUGAGCUUUUCUUUAAUGCACUUUUCAGUUAACAAGUCAACAUCAAUUUCUUUUGCUGUAAAAAAGCUUGAGGAAGGUGGCUUGAGAUUCGUCUUAAGUGUUUAUAGCCUCUUGCCUAUGCAGUCGGAGAGAUUGAGGUCUGCAGCGUAGAUCCUUCGGGGCUAAAUGCAUUUGUGCUAAGUUAUAGCAUUUUAUAGACAACUUGUUGACUAUGAUUUGUCUUGUAGCUUACUCGCUUAUGUUAUUUUACCUACGCUUAGGAUGUUGAUCUGUAGUGCGUGCGC